CCCUUAGAUGUUCUGGGCUGCACGCGCGCUACACUGAAGCGUUCAACGAGUAUUCACCUUGCCCGGGAGGGUUGGGUAAUCUUUUGAAAACGCUUCGUGAUGGGGAUAGAUUAUUGCAAUUAUUAAUCUUCAACGAGGAAUUCCUAGUAAGCGCGAGUCAUCAGCUCGUGCUGAUUACGUCCCUGCCCUUUGUACACACCGCCCGUCGCUCCUACCGAUUGAGUGGUCCGGUGAGGCUUUGGGAUCUGGGCGGAAAGAGCGUUUCGCUGUUUCUGCCCGGAAAACUCAGUCGAACCUUAUCAUUUAGAGGAAGGAGAAGUCGUAACA
rnacentral:rRNA from 1 species